ensembl:lncRNA
CGCUUUCUCGAGUGGGGUCGCCCUGGUUCUUCAAUGGGCGGCGUGUCGGCGGCCAUUGCGAGAAGACGCCUUUCCCACCCGUUGAGCUAGGAACGCUGUUCCAGCCCCAGCUGCCCUUCGUUACAGGGACACGUGGCCUCCAUCAGAAAUGGAGGGAGGUCGGGCCGGUAUGUCUGCAGAGAGCGAGAUUCCAAUGGGCCGCAGGCUCCACUGUUCCUGCGGAGUCAUCGCCCUGAUCCCGGGAGCCUGAGACCUCUCUACCUAACAAAACACGAUCUAGAUCACAACCAAGCAACAUAAAGUCAUCUUAACCUGUUCCCGUGCUGUUUCCUGAUUUUGGUCAUUAAAAUCAGACACAUCCCUAGCGACAGAAUUGAGAGGCCAUGUGCAGAUUUAAAAUACCCAUUUCUGUAACUCACUCAUUUUUCAUUUUCAAUAUGCUGAAAACCCCUGUAAGACUGAAGUGACUUUGAACAUCCUAAUCAUCUCUGGUUGUGUUUCGUGACCCAAAGCUUUGAAUACUGGGGAAAGAAUCAGCAUGAUUUAUCGUGACUCACAUUGUGGAAGAAGAGAACUGAAUUGUGCUCCCAUCUCCACACACGUUGACAUACACGCAAUAGUAAAUGUGAAAAUUGAAUGAAAAUGAGGACAUGACGGCUCCAAGACUCACUUAAAACAGAACACCAACAUGACAUGACUGCUCAAAGGUCACAAGCUAUCAACAAGAAGGCAGAUGUCCUGCAGCCCGCUAUUAUGGAUGGAGGACCUUGGGGAUGGCUGUCCAUGCAGCCUGCUGGCAAGUCUCUGUUAUUCUUUAAUCAUUGAUUCAGGUAAAAUCUUAUCCUUCUCAAGAACUCUGAUGCUUUUGAUGACUGGUAGUCUUGCCAGCUUAAAGCAAAAACAGAUUCCUGUUUUUGUGAAAGAUAGGAAAGUCUAAGAUGUAUGAAAGUCUGAGAAUGUAGUUACGAAGGCCUGAGGAUAAAAAGGCUUAAAUGAUGAUAAAGUGAGUUGAGACAUUAAAAAGACUGAAAUAUGUUCCGGAUUUCUCUAUUUCUCAUGCUACUGUUCAUAAUAAAGUUCACCAAUAUCACUAUAGGAUCAUAACUACAAAGUCAAGAUUAAGAUGCUUUUCAUUGUCCUAAAAAAAAAAAAUCUGUCAAUUUUAAAAUGGUAAUGCUUUUAGCCAAGUUGCUUCUAACAUAAAUAUGCUGCUAAUGUGUCUAAUACUUAUGUUUCUACAAACUCUAAUGAUUCUUGUAAGUUCCAGGGAGCUAAAUUGGAUCCAAACAAACAGGUCAGAUUCACUCCAGGUAAUAUUCAAUCUUUUCCUGGUCCCAGGACUCCCUUCCCUCAUGUUAGGACUCCUUGGGAACCCCUCCCUCAUCUUACAAUCUUCCCCUCAAGUGACAGGACCUAAGAAAAAAUUUUUUUUCUAAACUUAACCUUGUCCUCUGCUCUGUCAGCAUCUUACCAGGUCUAAGAAGCACCAGGGAGUUCCGUACAGCCUGAACUGCAAUGAAACAACCAGCUUCCCCAGGACAUGGCAGCACCCCAACCUUCUCGGGUCCCCCAAAGAUGGUCAACGCCCCCCACGUCAGCAGGAAGCAGUCUUGAGAAUUCAACACCCUUAUUCCUUAACCUGCCAUGUCUAACACCCCACCUUUUUCUAAUAAUAAGUAGAGGUGGGAAUGAAAGGUUUAGGCAUUAUGCUGGCCUGCCCCUGUUACCUGGUGGAACAGGCAGUACCCUGGUCAGCCCAAGGUUCCAUGGGAACUAAUUCUGCACACAGAUACAGAGGACCCCUUUAAAAGAUAGGUCCCUGCCCAUUUACGCUCUGUUUCUGUUCUGUUUCCUCGCUCUGCUUUCUCUCUACUCUGUCUCCUACCUAUGCGCUCUCUCUGUCUCUCUAAUCUCUAACCGGCCAUGGCGGUCAGCCAUUUACCCCUGUUCCUCUUCUUAGUCUCCCCAUUCUGUUGGGCCUUAUAAUAAACUUAUAAUCUUAUGUCUCAUGUCUCAGCAUUUCUCUUUUCUUUUUUUUUAAACAAAAGAAUAACACCAAGACUGUAGAGAGGAAAGCCUGUCUAUGGGGAAAACAAAAAUAAUAGGUAAAAUAUUUUGAUUGGAG